GACGAACGCUGGCGACGUGCUUAACACAUGCAAGUCGAACGGAAAGGCCCUGCUUUUGUGGGGUGCUCGAGUGGCGAACGGGUGAGUAACACGUGAGUAACCUGCCCUUGACUUUGGGAUAACUUCAGGAAACUGGGGCUAAUACCGGAUAGGAGCUCCUGCUGCAUGGUGGGGGUUGGAAAGUUUCGGCGGUUGGGGAUGGACUCGCGGCUUAUCAGCUUGUUGGUGGGGUAGUGGCUUACCAAGGCUUUGACGGGUAGCCGGCCUGAGAGGGUGACCGGCCACAUUGGGACUGAGAUACGGCCCAGACUCCUACGGGAGGCAGCAGUGGGGAAUAUUGCACAAUGGGCGGAAGCCUGAUGCAGCAACGCCGCGUGCGGGAUGACGGCUUUCGGGUUGUAAACCGCUUUCGCCUGUGACGAAGCGUGAGUGACGGUAAUGGGUAAAGAAGCACCGGCUAACUACGUG
rnacentral:rRNA from 1 species